GCCGGGUGGGGUGGUGUGGGUCUGUAAUCCCAGUGACUUGGGAGGCUGAGGCAGGAGAAUCGUGAGUUCAAAGCCAGCCUCAGCAAAAAAACAAAAAGCGAGGCACUAAGUGACUUAGUGAGACCCUGUCUCUA
rnacentral:sRNA from 1 species